UACACACACACGCCAGGGAAUUACGAGCUUAGCUUAAAACCCAAAGACUUGACGGUGUCCCAUCCCACUAGAGGAGCCUGUUCUAGAAUCGAUACUCCCCGCUUAACCUCACCACUUCUUGCUUUAUCAGCUAGUAUACUUCCGUCGCAAGCUUACCACAUGAGUGUACGUAGUAGGCCCAAUGAUUAUACAUAAACACGUCAGGUCAAGGUGCAGCAUAAGAAGUGGCUGAGAUGGGCUACAAUUUCUAGCUUAGAACACACGAAAUGCUGAAUGAAACACGGGCAUGAAGGAGGAUCUAGUAGUAAAAAGA
rnacentral:rRNA from 1 species